rnacentral:rRNA from 1 species
GACGAACGCUGGCGGCGUGCUUAACACAUGCAAGUCGAGCGGUAAGGCCUUUCGGGGUACACGAGCGGCGAACGGGUGAGUAACACGUGGGUGACCUGCCUUUAGCUUCGGGAUAAGCCUGGGAAACUGGGUCUAAUACCGGAUAUGACCUCAUGUCGCAUGGUGUGGGGUGGAAAGUUUUUCGGCUAGAGAUGGGCCCGCGGCCUAUCAGCUUGUUGGUGGGGUGAUGGCCUACCAAGGCGACGACGGGUAGCCGGCCUGAGAGGCGACCGGCCACACUGGACUGAGAUACGGCCCAGACUCCUACGGGAGGCAGCAGUGGGGAAUAUUGCGCAAUGGGCGGAAGCCUGACGCAGCGACGCCGCGUGGGGAUGACGGCCUCGGUUGUAAC